UGAUCCAGCCAUGCCGCGUGUGUGAAGAAGGCCUUAUGGUUGUAAAGCACUUUAAGCGAGGAGGAGGCUACUGAAGUUAAUACCUUCAGAUAGUGGACGUUACUCGCAGAAUAAGCACCGGCUAACUCUGUGCCAGCAGCCGCGGUAAUACAGAGGGUGCAAGCGUUAAUCGGAUUUACUGGGCGUAAAGCGCGCGUAGGCGGCUAAUUAAGUCAAAUGUGAAAUCCCCGAGCUUAACUUGGGAAUUGCAUUCGAUACUGGUUAGCUAGAGUGUGGGAGAGGAUGGUAGAAUUCCAGGUGUAGCGGUGAAAUGCGUAGAGAUCUGGAGGAAUACCGAUGGCGAAGGCAGCCAUCUGGCCUAACACUGACGCUGAGGUGCGAAAGCAUGGGGAGCAAACAGGAUUAGAUACCCUGGUAGUCCAUGCCGUAAACGAUGUCUACUAGCCGUUGGGGCCUUUGAGGCUUUAGUGGCGCAGCUAACGCGAUAAGUAGACCGCCUGGGGAGUACGGUCGCAAGACUAAAACUCAAAGGAAUUGACGA
rnacentral:rRNA from 1 species